UAAGGAAUAUUGGACAAUGGAGGCAACUCUGAUCCAGCCAUGCCGCGUGAAGGAAUAAGGCCCUAUGGGUUGUAAACUUCUUUUAGACGGGACAAAACCCCUUUACGUGUAAAGGGUUGAUGGUACUGUCAGAAUAAGCAUCGGCUAACUUCGUGCCAGCAGCCGCGGUAAUACGAAGGAUGCAAGCGUUAUCCGGAAUUAUUGGGUUUAAAGGGUGCGUAGGCGGACUAAUAAGUCAGUGGUGAAAGCCUGCAGCUUAACUGCAGAAUUGCCAUUGAUACUGUUAGUCUUGAGUACAGUUGAGGUAGGCGGAAUGUGUCAUGUAGCGGUGAAAUGCUUAGAUAUGACACAGCACACCGAUUGCGAAGGCAGCUUGCUAAGCUGUAACUGACGCUGAGGCACGAAAGCGUGGGGAGCAAACA
rnacentral:rRNA from 1 species